GCGGAUAACCCGGGUAGCCUCCUUGUUGAUGAGGCGGAUAUCCACCGUGUUGCGGGUAUGCACCGGGCGGUGGAUACCCACCAGGCCCAGCUGGAGGAUAUGCUCCCGGCGGCGGAUAUCCACCAGCCUGCGGCGGGUAUCCGUAAACACCACCACCGUGUUUAUCGUCGUGUCCCUGUGGUGGAUAUCCGGAAGGACCCGGCGGGUAUGCAGACGGGGCUCCAUGUCCGGGCGGGUAAGCGGUAACGGGCUGAUGAUCCAUGGGCUUGUGAUCUA
rnacentral:lncRNA from 1 species